rnacentral:rRNA from 1 species
GACGAACGCUGGCGGCGUGCUUAACACAUGCAAGUCGAACGGAAAGGCCCCUUUGGGGGUACUCGAGUGGCGAACGGGUGAGUAACACGUGAGUAACCUGCCCUUGACUUCGGGAUAACUUCAGGAAACUGGGGCUAAUACCGGAUAGGAAUCCUUGCUGCAUGGUGGGGGUUGGAAAGCUUCGGCGGUUUUGGAUGGACUCGCGGCUUAUCAGCUUGUUGGUGGGGUAGUGGCUUACCAAGGCUUUGACGGGUAGCCGGCCUGAGAGGGCGACCGGCCACAUUGGGACUGAGAUACGGCCCAGACUCCUACGGGGGGCAGCAGUGGGGAAUAUUGCACAAUGGGCGGAAGCCUGAUGCAGCAACGCCGCGUGCGGGAUGACGGCCUUCGGGUUGUAAACCGCUUUCAGCAGGGGCGAAGCUUGUGGUGACGGUACCUGCAGAAGAAGCACCGGCUAACUACGU